GCGUAAAUCUUCACACUUUUACUAGAUUUACCAAAAGUUGGUCUGUUUCGAACUCUUUCUUUAUACCCUACUUUAAAAAGAGAUGAGAAUCCCGGUCUAGUAUUACGCAUAAUGAUUGUUCAAAAGAAACAGUGCAAGAGAAUAUCUGACGAAGGUGGCAUGCUUUUGUACAUAGGAUACUAUUUCUGAAAUUACAAAGGAUCUUAUUCUAGGAUUAAGGACAUUUUGUGAAAGAUACAGAUGUAAAAAUCAACGUUAGAACAUUAUUAUAUAUAUAUAUAUAUAUAGUAUAGUUUUGCUUUAGCUCUAUAUAUAAAUAUUCGGUUACACAGUACACUUUCUUAGUAGCUUAAUAAUGGUGAAUUUAUAUUUAUAUAUAAGGUUUUAAUUUUGUAUUGAUGGUGCUGUAACGUAUACUAUUUAUAGAUUAGAGAUUAUAUAUUCUCUUUCUCGCCC